rnacentral:misc_RNA from 1 species
CCGCUUGGUCCUUGGAGACCACAUAAGAAAAAUCCGAUCUAUAACACAGAUAAGAGCAUGGGAGCCCGAAAUGGAGGCAGACCAUUUUCAUUUGAUGGUCAUCUUUAUCGUGUUGGCCAAGACGAUGGUGAAACAUACGGGCGGAGGGUGCGUCUCUUCAAAAUAGAAGUUUUGACUACUGAUAAGUUCGAAGAAGUUGAAGUCCCAACGAGCCUUAAAGAGUCAAUUAAGGGAAGAAAUGCCUGGAACGGUGCCCGCAGCCAUCAUCUUGAUGUGCAACAAUUAAGUUCCGGAGAGUGGGUUGGAGUUAUGGAUGGUGAUCGAGUGCCUUCAGGUGAUGCAAGUAGACGGUUUCAUUUAGGUUGUGCGUCAGUCUUAGGUGUUGCAGCCCUGGUUAUACUGUUCGGUGUGUCCCUUGGAGCUGUUAAAGGUUUAUUUCCCCUUAGUUGGUGCCCGCAUAAUGUUGGCAAGAGGAGUGAUGCUUCAUUGGAUUGGG